AUUGAACGCUGGCGGCAUGCUUUACACAUGCAAGUCGAACGGUAACAGCACUUCGGUGGCUGACGAGUGGCGAACGGGUGAGUAAUACAUCGGAACGUGCCUAGUCGUGGGGGAUAACUACUCGACAGAGUAGCUAAUACCGCAUGAGAUCUAAGGAUGAACGCAGGGGACCUUCGGGCCUUGCGCUACUAGAGCGGCUGAUGGCAGAUUAGGUAGUUGGUGGGAUAAAAGCUUACCAAGCCGACGAUCUGUACCUGGUCUGAGAGGACGACCAGCCACACGGGGAGUGAGAAACGGCCCAGACUCCUAAGGGAGGAAGCAGUGGGGAAUGUUGGACAAUGGGGGCAAGACUGAUCCAGCAAUGCGGCGUGCAGGAUGAAGGCCUUCGGGUUGUAAACUGCUUUUGUAAGGAACGAAAAGCCCUCUUCUAAUACAGGAGGGUCAUGACGGUACCGUAAGAAUAAGCACCGGCUAACUACGUG
rnacentral:rRNA from 1 species